rnacentral:rRNA from 1 species
GCUUGUCUCAAAGAUUAAGCCAUGCAUGUCUAAGUAUAAGCAUUAUACAGUGAAACUGCGAAUGGCUCAUUAUAUCAGUUAUAGUUUAUUUGAUAGUCUCUGCUAUUUGGAUAACCGUAGUAAUUCUAGAGCUAAUACAUGCACCAAGCGCGCUUUUACGAGCGCGUGUAUUUAUUAGAUACAAUCAACCCUUCGGGUUUUGAUGAGUCAUAAUAACUGAACUAAGCGCAUGCUUUGGCGGCGCUGUUUCAUUCAAGUUUCUGCCCUAUCAGCUUUCGAUGGUAGUGUAUUGGACUACCAUGGCAGUAACGGGUAACGAAGAAUUAGGGUUCGAUUUCGGAGAGGGAGCAUGAGAAACGGCUACCACAUCUAAGGAAGGCAGCAGG